GACGAACCGUGCGAACGUUGUUCGGAAUCACUGGGCUUAAAGGGCGCGUAGGCGGGCCGGUAAGUCCGGGGUGAAAUCCUGCAGCUCAACUGCAGAAGUGCCUCGGAUACUGCCGGCCUCGAGGGAGGUAGGGGCAUGUGGAACUUCCGGUGGAGCGGUGAAAUGCGUAGAUAUCUGGAGGAACACCGGUGGCGAAGGCGGCAUCCUGGACCGGGCAUUGACGCUGAGGCGCGAAAGCCAGGGGAGCAAACGGG
rnacentral:rRNA from 1 species